UUAACGGGUAUUCUACAGUUGAAGUCAACAGACGCAAUGAAUGAGGCUGGAGUUGGACCUCUCUUUUUUUGUGUCAGGAAGUUGGACUGAGAAAGCACGAAAAGCAAGCAACUUUUGUAUGCACAUAUAUAGACACGAGAAGCACAGCACAGCACCUCCUACCAAAUCAGAAUACAAAUUUCAACAUAAAAAGGAACAGAAAGCUUGAAGCUUCUUUAGUAUCAAAGCAAUGGGAAAGAGGAAGCCUUGCUGGGAUGGAAUUAUUACCAUCGAUGAUCUCGACUCUCCUUAUUCAGAGGACAUUGGAGUUCGACCUUACAAAAAGUGUCCUCGAAGAAAGGGGAUUAGAAAACAAAAGGCUGAAGAGGUAUCAAAUGAAAAGCUAGACACUCUAGCAUUUGACAACCACUUUAAAAAUUUGUGGAGCAACUUCCCAGAAGAUAAGAGGAUGCUGUUCACAUACUUUGACUGCCUAUGGUUUUCUGUAUACAUGACUGCAUCCUCCAAAGAGAAUAUGUUGACUUGGAUCAAGGAUAAGGACAUUUUUUCAAAGAAAUAUGUUCUUGUCCCUAUCGUUUACUGGAGUCAUUGGAGCCUCUUGAUCUUGUGCAACUUUGAUUCACAAUCAGAAAAUGGAUCUCCUUGUAUGCUGUUACUGGAUUCGCUUCAGAUGGCAGGCCCAAGGCGGCUUGAACCAGCAAUAAGAAAGUUUGUAUUGGACAUUUUCAGAUCUGAGGGCAGGCCCGAAUAUGAGCAAUCAAUUUCACAAAUUCCAUUAUUGGUGCCUAAGGUGCCCCAGCAGCGAAAUGGUGAAGAGUGUGGUAACUAUGUUCUCUACUUCAUAGAUUUGUUUGUGCACCAAGCUCCCCUGGACUUUAGUGUGAAGGAGUACCCAUAUUUUAUGACAGACGACUGGUUUAAUCUUGAAGGCUUCACUCACUUCUGUGAGAAACUGCAACCUCCUGAAAAGUGAUAUGUUGAUGAGUUUAAUAAGGCUUAAUAUAAUGAAGUUCAUGCUAGGAAGAUUAUUCUUUAUUGUAGUUUGUUGUAGCAAAUAAUCAAGAAGAUCCGGUGGAAGAAAUGGAAACACAAAUUGCUUAGAUUGUGAUGCAGUUGGAAUUCUAUGAUCAUGCUGGAUGAACUUGGCCUUGUAGCAGUCAGACCCUGAUGUUAGCCUGGAAGAAAGUGUAUACCGAACCAAAAGAAAAUCUGAUUUCACUAUGGUAGCUUGGUCUUUGUACAAUCAACUCGUCUAUUCCAUUACCAUUUUGGGAGUCCCAUUCUGAUAAAUCUUUUAUUUGGCUGGACAUGAAUGAUUAUAACUUAUGCAGGGAAAAAGUUGAAAUUA